UUAAUUGAAACCAAAAAGAGGUAUAUUACUGUUAAUAAUAAAAAUGGAAAUUUCCCAAUUAAA
rnacentral:tRNA from 1 species